rnacentral:rRNA from 1 species
UACGGAGGGUGCAAGCGUUGUCCGGAUUUAUUGGGUUUAAAGGGUGCGUAGGCGGCUUUAUAAGUCAGGGGUGAAAGCCGACAGCUUAACUGUCGAAAUGCCUUUGAUACUGUAGAGCUUGAGUACAGAUGAGGUAGGCGGAAUUGAUGGUGUAGCGGUGAAAUGCAUAGAUACCAUCAGGAACACCGAUUGCGAAGGCAGGUUACUGGGCUGUAACUGACGCUGAGGCACGAAAGUGCGGGGCCCAAACAGG